rnacentral:sRNA from 1 species
UGACUGUCUUGCGAACUGCUCCAUAUAC